rnacentral:lncRNA from 1 species
ACACUGAUAAAGCUGGGUGCUCUGCUGGCAAAGCUGUUCUGACAAAGCAGGCAAAGAGAGGGUGGACAUGAGUGUGCUGUAAGUGAUGCCACAUCUUAAAGUCCUGCAUUACUUCAGAAACACCCACAAUGGCAGGAAAUCCAGUCAAAGGUACAUCUCUCAGCAGAACCAAUGGAGUGAACCUUCUUUCCAUCUAGAUAAAAAGGUAAAGGGACCCCUGACCGUUAGGUCCAGUCACAGAUGACUCUGGGGUUGCAGCGCUCAUCUCACUUUACUGGCUGAAGGAGCCGGCAUACAGCUUUCAGGUCAUGUGGCCAGCAUGACUAAGCCGCUUCUGGCAAACCAGAGCAGUGCAUGGAAAUGCUGUUUACCUUCCUGCUGGAGCGGUACCUACCGUAUUUUUCACCCCAUAGGGCACACCUAGUUUUUUUUUGGGGGGGAAUAAAGAAAAAAAAUUAUUUCCCCCUCCCCAGGCGCAGGGCUGGGGCGGGGGAAGCCCGAGCUUCCCCCGACCCCAGCCCCCAGAACAGGCUGCUAUCCGCAAGCCUAGGGAGCCCGGCGGGAAGUCGCGCUGGGCUCCCUAGGGUUGCGGAGAGCUGCCCGAAGCCUGGGGCGAGCUCCGCUGCGCUCCCCAGGUUUCGGGCUGCAGGCUGCUGUCAGCAAGCCUUGGGAGCCCGUGGGAGUUCCUGAAGCCUGGAGGAUAGCUUCCUGAAGCCUGGAGAGCGGUGUGCACCGACCCCUCUCGCUCUCCAGGCUUCAGCGAAAGCCUGCAUUCGCCCCAUAGGACGCACACACAUUUCCCCUUCAUUUUUGGAGGGGAAAAAGUGCAUCCUAUAGGGUGAAAAAUACGGUAUUUAUCUACUUGCACUGCGUGCUUUUGAACUGCUAGGUUGGCAGGAGCAGGGACCGAGCAACGGGAGCUCACUCCGUCACCGAGAUUCGAACCGCCGACCUUCUGAUCGGCAGACCCAAGCGGCACAGUGGUUUAACCCACAGUGCCACCCGCGUCCCAUUUCCAUCUAGAUAGGUCAAUAAAAUUGCACGAAAACUAAGCAACAAAGUGUUUCUCCUUCUGAACUCAUAAUAACAAGGUUCAGGCAUAAUAGUCAGCCUGGAAUAGAUAUAUCAGAGCAGGAAAAUCUACCUACCGACCUGCCUCUUUUAUGGGAAAAUAGAUGAUAGAUUCAUCAUCAGUUGUAAAUACUCAUGUGUUUUACCUAUGGGGUGGACCACACAUGUGUAAUAUAUUUUCCUAAACAAAUAUGGUCUCUUUUUAGAUAAUAGUGUAUGCAUCAUUACUCACGACUGUCACUGAAUAUGUUUAGCUAUGAGUAUACAGCUGGGCAGACAUUAUUAUUAUUUUUAUAUAAGAAAAAUCACACAUGGAAACUUCCUCUAAUUUAAAAAAAACCUAUGGGAUUAUUAAGCAUUCAGUGAUUUUCUAUAACCAAGAUACAAGGAUCCUUUCUUUGGAGUGUUAUAAUAAAACAUAUGAAAAUACUAAGUGGCCAUUAACGCUUCUUGUUUCUCUGCUUCUCUGCCCCUUUUCACCACCCCAUAGCAUGUGAAAUGGCCCUUAGGGCACAUACCUUCACUCUUAUAUUUUAUAGUUUUGCUUCAAGGACUGUCAAACAGGGAUACUAAGAUCCCACUUUCAUGGGAUACACUGGAGUGAUAAACACCUACAGAAGUAUUUAGCCAUUAUAGAAUUGUAUUUUAUGAACUUUUAAUAUAUGUUGUAUGCUGUUGAUAAUUUUCAAGCUCUGAGAAGUUUUGCUUCCCCUCAAAUGCAUAUGGUUCUGUUAUACAUCUCACCUGAGGCAUUGUAAACCUCACAGAGGCACCUCUGUCUGUCUCUUACUUGGAAUGUAACUUAAUGAUUCACUGUCUUGCUUUGACUAACAUGUCAGCUCAGGGAAUGUGCCUCUCAUGAUGGCAAGAAUGGUUUAACCUCUUAGGAACAGCAGAUAUCCUAACUCCCAUGUCACAAAAUCUACCCAGAUGAGAGGAAGAUAUCUGGCCAUUGCAUCUCCACAGAUGCUUUACCUCCACACAACAGCUGUCAUUUCUUACUGCAGAAACAGUCAUUUAGGGGCUGGUUUGAGGGGGAAAUAGUAUUCAUUAACAGAAUGAAUAGAGUCUGCUUACAUGAUUUCGGUAUGCUAAACUCUAGUAGUCCUUCAUGGAGACUUUUCCCAGAAAGCUGCACAGUUGCAUUGCAUCACCUAUCCUUGAAAUGUGUGGCUUAUGUUGAGUUUCAAUAGUUUUAACAUAUCUAUAAUGAGAGGCAUGCACUUUCUAGCUUUCACUGAGGCUCUGGGUGUACAUGUCUCUUUCCCCUUACACUAACCAGUAAAAAGGGGAGGAGGGUAAACAUUUUUUGCUCUUCCUCCUUCAGAGCUCUGGAUCCAUUACAAUCCUUUGACCUGACAGAUGGAGACUGGCUUCUAAAAUGUUCUCUGAUCAUUUAACCAGAAUUUGUUUGAGUCUUCUAGCUAAUGCCAUAUAUGUAUACUACAUCCACUCUGUACAUGCUUCUAUACCAGUUUUCUGUCUAUCUUGGUAUUUUUCGGACAUGGCUCCUGCCAUAAGCAGGUCAUUCUUAUUUUCAUUUAUGAAACAGGCCUAAGGGUUAUUUGUGAAUGAUCUCUGCUGCAAAUAAAAUAUUCACGGUUCUGUAUUUUUAGUACCCUUUGGAAAAUGUCUUGUGCUCCCUCUGCUGUUUUGAUGGGAGCACUGAACUGACCAGAUGUGCUACAGGAAUUCAACAGCAUAGGAGGUGUAACAUGAAAACCUGUGGGCCGUUUGUUAAAUACAUCCGUUCACAAGGAUAAAUAAAAAGAGGUGACAGAUUCAGUCGUAUAUAACAAAAAGAAAAUGCUAUGAAAGUAAAUCUAAAAAGAAUUAGUGGAACUGGUGCAUGUGUAAGUGCAAACACACAAAAAAACAAAUUAAAACAUCAGGAGCUAGCAAAAAAUACACAGUGGGUAUAAUUCCACCAAAGUGAAGCUAGGCUGCAUUGUUUUUAACUGAAGAUUUGAGCAUGUGCUUGACUCUUUUGUUUUGAAAUCAUUUGGACAUAAGAUCUAUUUAAUAAUAUUUGUAUAAUGGCUAAUUGCUAAAGCCUCUAAGUUGUUUACAAAAAAAACCCAUAAAAUAUGUAUUAAAAUUGUCUAUAAAAGUCAGAAGUCGAAUAUAAGUUGGCCUAAAAAUUAUUCCAAAUAUAAAGAAAAUCAAUAGUUAAAAAUGAAAACUAUCGAUUAAAAUACAUGUCAGUUUUACAUAUCUGACUAGGCUAGCCUAAACAAAAAAGGUUUUAGGAGGCACAGGAAACAAUACAAUGAGGUGCCUGCCGUGUGUGUGUGUGUGUGUGUGUGUGUGUGUGUGUGCACAAUCAAUAAAUAACAAAUAAUUGGACUGAAGUAUGGGAGCACCAGGGCUUUUUUUUUCAGCCAGAACUUGCUGGAACUCAGUUCUGGUACCUCUCAGGUGGGCACUAUUGCCAUUAUAAGAGAGCAUAGAAGGCGUUCAUAGUGAGUUCCUGCACCUCUUUUUCAAGAAAAAUAGCACUGGGAAGGGCUCUAUAAAAUGCCUUGUUUCCAUAAGACUGUUCACUGGCUAGCUUACAUUUUGUAACGCAUGCAUAAAAGAAAAUGAAAUCAGAGCAUAUAGCCUGGCCAGUGUGGAUGAGAAUUCUGUUCUGUGCUUCAGAAACACUGGUUUCCAAACAACUGUUCAGAAGCAUUUCAUUUUCCUAAUAUCCCAGCACACCAGCCAAGGAAGGCACACAUCCAAGCACACUUACAGCAGCUCCUAAAGUGCAAUGGAUACACAUGCACACAUUCUUCUAGAGUCUAGGCAGCUUUCCCCAAGUCCAUGCCCCACAGAGCAGUUGCAGCAACAGUGGGACCAAGCUCCUCACCACCACCUUAUGUACCCUUAUCUGAUGGGAUGUGCACAUCCAACCUGAGGCUUCUCCUACACAGAAGUCACCGUUCUCUCUUCUAGGAGACAGCAGAGCAGGGGAUGGCAGGGUUCUGACUGGCCCACCUGCCUGAACCGCCUCUUCCUCUUCCUCUGACAUGUCAUAUGCACCCACCUCCAUCUCUGACUGCUUAGUUUACACCCUUCCUCUCCCCAACUCCUGCUCUGGCUCCUGCCUCGCAGAUGGUGCCAAACCCCAUAAAUCGCUGGGGCCCUUUCCUAUAGUGAAUAAUUUGUGCCUAUGUAUGCAGUUUGUGCCUAUACAUGGGUGGUCCCUUAAUGUGUAAGACCUUGUGCAGAUGUCCAGUACAUGGACAACAGGGAUGCCAUGAGCAGGGCCAGACCUAAGUCAGACCUACACUGCCAUGAGCAGUGUAAUCCUAAGUCCCAAACACAUGUAGAAGAUGGGCAUGUGCAUAGGCCAAGUCUUUCAGAAAAUGAACUUUAAAAGCAGUAGUUUAAGGCAAGAUAAAAUAAGCAUGAUUUCCCUACCAAAUGGCUUCCUUGGUGCAAAAUAAGAAUAAGAGAGGAUAACAGGAACUAUAAGAUUGAGACUUGCAGUGAAAUAUGAAAAAAAACACCUAAUUUUGGAAUGCAGAACAAAUUACUUAAAUGAUAAUCCCAGAAUUACGUUUACUGAAACCAACAGAUUUUAACAUGAAAACAGACUACAUAUUUACAUGUCCCUAUACCACAGCUUUUGGCAAUAUCACCACGACAGUGAUUCUUUUUAAAACAAGCUUCCAUUGGUUUGACCUUAAGUAUCCCCACAGCUGUGUGGAUCACAUCAAACUGCCUUUUAGGUCUUGUGCUAUUCACAUGAGACUGAAAGCACUUCUAACUUUAAAAGGUCUGAGUGAAAAAUGGAAGAUAUCAUAUUGGUGCUAGUUCAUAGUAUAAUAUCAUCAAGGGUCCCGAAUUUUUUUGCUGCCCAAGAGGAAUUAAAACAGCCCUCCAACAGUUGUUGGACUCCAACCACCAUCGGUCUCAGCCAGCACAGUCAAUAGUGAGGAAUGAUGGGAGCUGUAAUCUAACAACACCUGAAACUUAGAAAAUCUGAUGGUUCAAAGGCUCUCAGUAACACCUCAUUGAAUGCAGGAGAUGCUACCCAACUGAUGAGAUGCCAAGCAGCAUUUGUGCAAAGUACAGGGCCUACACAGUGUGGGGAGCAGAUUUCUCUCCCUGGACUUCUUAGAAUUCAGCAGAAUUCCUGAUCUGGACCUUGUGGAGAAAUUAAUUCUCUGCACCACAAGAAUGUGUUUCAAAGCUUUACUGCAAAACAGUAAAAUAAACAUUACAAAAUAACUAAGCAACACUUUAUAAACAAGCAAUGAGGUUCAGUCCUUUAUGCAGUUCUGUAAACCUUCCUCUCUCUGGUCCUAGAGGGAGAUCCUAGGCUUGUUCAUCAGUGCAGAACUUCCCUGCAACUUUUGUUGUUGCUGCUAUUACUAGCCAUCUCCAACAAGCACACACAGGCUUCUCAAGUUUCAGCUCCCCGUUGUGAAAGCUCUGCGGCUCAUGUUUUCAGAUAUGAGCCAUCAGGUAGAUUAUCUUACUCUAAUGGAAAAAUAUCAACCUUCUCUAAUGCUUUUGCCAGAGUGGAACCUUUUUGCCUAAGGUAAGAGUUCUACUAUAUAUGAAUGUGUAAAUAUUUACCUAGGGAAAAUUAUUUUUGUGAAUACAUCCAAAUAAUUUGGAUGACCAGUGUCUGGGUAGUUCUUAUAUCAUUGCAGGUAUGAUGCUACUAUUCCUCUAUGGGCUGAGGUUGGAGCUUUUGUCCAGCAAAUGACCACAUUACAACCACAGCUAAAAAUUGAAAUUUGGUCUGCUGUGACCCAAAUGAUUUCUUCUCCCCCUAAAUCAUGUUUCAUUCCCCUAUUUUGUUCAAUUCUGGAAGUAAACACAGAGUUUUGAAAGAGGAGAAAAAGAAUCCGCCUUGAAUUUUUUGUAACAGAAGUAGCAUCUGAUUGAUUCCAACAGACCAUACUUUCCAAUAAGUUACAUUCAGGAAUUUGGCCUAAAGCUGUAAACUUUCCUGGGAGCAGGCCCAUAGGCCCAUAGAACACAUACCUGCUUCAGAAUAAAUAUGUGUAGGAUUACUCUGUAAACCUGUCAGUAGAGUCUCAAAAGACAAAGGACACCAAUAGCAUCCAAUUACUCUGCUGGGCAAGGAGCCUCAUUGAACUGGUCAGGCCCUGUGCCAAUAAAUGAUUGCAUCAAUAGAGGUAGAAAGAAGCCUCACUUGUCCCUUUCCUUCCCCUUAUUGCCUGCCUGGGCCUUUUCAAGCUGGCUUCUCCAUUCAGAAAAGAUUUUUCUAUGACAGGCCAAUGAGGAGGAUUAAAGAGCAAUUAAGCCCAAUAAAUUAUCUUCCUAAAACAUUUUUUAAAAAUAUCCACUGUGCUGAAGCAAAGUUACUGCCGCUUCAUUUCCCCUGUGAAGGGGGAUCAAGGCAGAUCAAACAGCCUUAGACCUGCUGACGCGCCCCUCUUUUGCUUAACACAGGACUCAUAGUGGCCUGCAGAAAUCUACUCAGCUUCACCCACCCAUUCACACCCCUGAUCAAAUUAAAUCAAUCUUCUCCUCAGGAAGGGAUUUUGGCUUUAGAAAACACAGAAUAUGCCUUUAAAGUUAAAGAAGAGGAAGAGAAGACACCCCCAACACUCUUUAUGGGUCAAUUCCAUAAGUAAAGCAGAAAAAAGAGCAACCACCUCUUCUCUUCUUCACAACUCCAGCUCAUGAAGAUUUCCUAUUUUCUUUCUCAUUAAGUAUGUUUGUGUCUGCUUUUUAUAAUGUUGUCUGAGACCUUUGGGUAAAAACAUGUAGCAUCAUAUAUAUAUCAUCUACUGCUUUCCCCCCUCCACUGUUAAUAAAAGUGUUUGGAAGUUUUAUUAGCUGGCUUAUGUUGCAUAUUUUGUACAUCAUUUGCAGCAAUGGAUGUCCCCAACAUAAUCUGUAUUUCACAUGGAUGUUAUUGGGACAGUGCACUUUAAUAAUGGAGCUUUUGUGGGUUGUCAGAUAGUGGUCACACAACGUGCAGUUUGAAAAGAGGGGGGUCACAUGAAGGGGUGCUAUGAAAUGUUUCAAGAGUAAGGUAGCAAACUCCAGCCAAUAUAUUUUGGUGCCUCGGACAGAAGAUCCAAAUGACUCCCCAUCCUAGUACUGACAAAUACAGAACACAAUUUACCAGACUGUUCUCCUGCACACACUUUGUUGAAAUGAAUGGAAGUUCUUUAAAAUCAUGGAGCUCAGAUUGUGCACUGCAGCUGUUUGGAGUUGCAAAAUUAUCUUGGACCAACCCUUCUUGAAACCAGGUGAAUAUUUCAAUAUUCACUCAGAUUUGAAAUUGGAAUUUGUGUUAGCUCUAUCCAUGCCCUUUUAAUGCAUGUUCCCCAAGAGACUGUCUGAUAAAUGAGUUUCCUGGCAGGAAUGUUUGCUGAAAGAUUAAAUUUUAAGCAAAUGUCACAAAAUAUUAACUCAGAAGUCAUUCUUAAACUUGUAAAAUCGACACAGGAAGCUGUACAGUAGUAAUAUAGAGGAAUAUAUUGUGACCUGUGAGUUCAAUCACUGCUGUCCAACACACAUUUUGAAAUAAAACAAAAAACUCCAAACCCUCUUACAUAAAAUUCCUCAUACAGUAAUCUGAAUCCAGUGUAGUAGUCACAGUAACUUGUGUUAGUGUAUCUCUGUGGCAAGAACUCUACCACUUACCCAGAUCUAUGACCUACAUUGUGUAAAACCUUCCCCAAUUCACUUGCAUAAACAAGUUGAUGCUUGUGCUAAAUUUUAUGCUGAAUUUUAAAAUAAAGCAGCUCUGCUGAGGAGGAUUUGACUUCCUAUGGAAACAUUAAACUGGAAUAUUAAACUAGAGAAGAAUGAACAAUUGGAAAGGAUUUUGCAUAUUAAAAUUUAAUUGUAACAGAAUUAAUAAUACUAAGAUAAGUCCUACCCACGUCUGCAUUAUUUAUUUAUUAUUAAUGUUAUUAUUAACAUUAUUAAAUAUUUAUAUCCAUUAUUUCAACAAAAGACUACAAGGUGAAUAACAACCAAGGUAUAACUAUAAAUUAAUGUUUUAAAAUCUCACUUAUCAGCUAGUGUUAAAACAACAGCAAAAACAACAAAAAAGAGAUUGCAACAGCAAUCAAAUUGCAUAAAACCAGAGACAGCUGAAACCAGUUCAAUUGUUUAAAAAAGUACAAUAUAAAAGCUUUCAUAGGUUUUUCACCAACUUAUAAAAGGACAUUGCACAGUGGAAGAAGGUAGGGAUUGAAAAAUGAAUCAUGAGAACAUUCUGAACUUUUGCAUAUAAUAAGGUAUUGGGGGAGGGGUUGUUGAAGUAAUUUAUUAGAAAUGUUUCAUUGCCGUAAUCUCACUUGUAACUUCCGCAGGAAGGCACAUUAUGUAACCAUAUCCCACAACACAACCAAGGUAGCAGUUGGUGUACUUGCUCCUUAAGUGCUAGAAGCCUUCCUGGUUAGCACAACUAUACUAUGAAUCGUGCUAGGAUGAGUUUGAUGAAGAACAUGAUCCAUGAUUAGUGGUGCAGCUAGGGAUGGCCCUCGAGGUCAAAAUCCAGGGCUCCUCAGUCCAUGGGGGCCUCAAAUGACCACCACAAAUAAGUGACAGAGGUUAGAGCAGUGGUAAACAUCAGCACCUGAGCCAGCAUGGGCCUACCUUGCACAGGGACCACUGCUGAUGGCUGCAGCAUGCUAUCAUUUAAAAAAACAAAUCAUAGUCAAGGUGCUGAAAGUGGCAAUAGUUUGGCAGCUCACUCAGUAUGAUUGCCUUCAUGGCAAGCUAUUUUUAGUAUUCCCGGUUUUCCUGGCCUCUGAGGCAGGUCUUGGUGCAGGUAAUUGCAAUCCAUUUUAGAAUGAUUUUGCCCUGAGCAAUUUAUUAAUUUUUUUACUUUAAAAACACACUAUAAUUUUCUGCAACGAAACUGUACUCAUUCCCAAAUAAAUGUACUUAGAAUCAGGACAGCAGAAGCAGAUUCCAUUUUAUUUCUGUAAUCAUGAUGGUGCUGUGAUUUAAGUGAGUUUAAAAUGCACAUACUCAGAAUGUGACUUCAUCUUUUUUUUUUAAUCAGGGAAAUGUUUUGUUUUGUAUUUAUUUCCUGCUCUAAUAGCAGCUGUAAAGCAUGAGAUAUUCAGAGAAUUAAUUAAUUAAUUAAUUCACAAUUGACAUAAUAUGCAAGGCAGUCUAAAGAAGGGACUGGGAAAUCUGUUAAAUCCAGGGUAUAAUAUUACCUCGUUGCAGCACUGGCCAUUAGCGGUCAGCAAGUAUGCUCUCCUGCCAUAACUAUAACUUAUUCCACCUGAAUUGUAAGGAAAUGAUAUGAUAUCAUUUGCAGACUGUAGUGGAGAAUUUAUUGACCCCUAUUCCUUUGAAUGACUUUGAGGGGGAGCAUCUGCAUCUUCAUGUCACAGAUACAGUCUCCAAAAAAGGAAUAUUAAUUUAUUUCUUUGCACCAAUAGUUGAAGAUAUCUUACACCCAAUUCUGCAGUAACAUGGAUUUUCCUUUUUGAUAUAUAUUAAAAAAUGUUGUUAUCCUUAUUAUCAAAUAAAUGUUAUGCCCAAAUGCACAUGGACUGAUUUUCUGUCUGCUAAUUAGUCAGUGAAACCCUCAUUUAAAUUGGGACUUAUCUAUACAACAUACAUGUGCUACACAGAUUAAUACAAGAAUGAUGCCAUCAAGUCAACUAAGAGUGCAAAUUUAAUAUUUAGGGAUGCAAGACCUGUUGAGUUAAUUGCAGGGGACUGGGAAGUAAGGAAAACAGUUUAUGAAGUGCUCCCAUGCAGUAUUUCAAGAUAUACACGCCCACUGGAAGAAGCAAAAUUAUUCUCUGCCCAUGCUGCACCCUUUCAAAAUCCCCACAAGGUAGACACUGGAAAGGGUUACUUCUUAAUUGGCCUUCAGUGUUUGUGGAGCAUGCAAUGUCAAACAUUCUGUAAACACAAAUGUUAUUAUACCAAGCAUGCUUUAUGGAAGUCUAUAAUAUUAAAGAAUAACUAUCUGCCUGAACAGCUUGGGGCAUUCAUCUGCGGAAAUGUUUUGCCAAGGAGCAGACACACCUGUUGAAAUUGUUUAAGACUAGAGAUCAAUAAGUGGGUGCUGCUUGAAAAGCCAAUCACACUCCGGAGUUCCCAAGGGCGAGGGUGAGCAGAACCACUAUAAUGUAGAAAUUGCACUGAGUAGCGCUAUUUGCCAUUGAUUGUAGCAGAAGGUUACAGGGAGCAAAGAAUCUUAGAACAAGUGGAUCUUUUACCCAGACCCCAAAGUUUUCCCACGCAAGUUCCAUUGGAAAUGAAUGAAAAUGACCCUGCUUUCUUCACAGCUCCUGUUCCUUUCAAAAAGUCUUGCAAGGAGACACUGAUAGAUUGUGCCUUCUAAAUGUAAUAGUUUGCCUCGUCUUCUAGACUGCUGUCCUGUGAGAAACAUUAGUUAGCAGAAGGAUAUGGGUGGCCUCAAGUGCCUAGGGCACAGUACUGAAUAUUAUCAGGAGAGCUGGAAUCUCUUACCAGCUUUGCCACUGAGAUUAUGUGCAAAGUUGUGUGAGCUUAUUUCAUUCAUGAUUAUUAAAUUCCCCUUGAUCUAUCUGAUAUAAAUUUAAAUUGAAAAGGGGAUUGAGAAUUAGUGUAGCCUUAUUCCUCUCUCAGUUCAACAUAGUUCAAGUUUACAGUGUCUCAUUUCCUUCAUUUCUCCCAGUAUAUUUUAUUAAUUCAAAGUAGUGCUCAAAAUUAUGCAUGUAAGGCUUUUGAGUUACAUAGAGUUCUUCUCAACAUGGAUGUUAAAUAAUGUUUUUCCCCUUGUGCAUCCAACCUGAUGAAAAUUUUUAUGUUAAGCAAAAGCUGGUGGAACACAAUGCCAUACAGGCAAGAGUUCCAACAGGAUUUUUUAGUACCAGGACAUUAUGUGGAUUUGGUCCUCUGACUACCCACAAAAUAGGGUUUGGUUUUAUUUGAUGCUUUAUUAUAUUUCUAUGCUGCUUUUCAUUCUAAUGAAUCCCAAGGUGGUUUACAAACUAAAAUAAUAAUAACAUGAUUGAACAUCAUCAUCAUUGCUGUAUACCACCCUAUACCGGCAGGUCUCAGGAUAAAAUCACUCCCUGUUAUGCCUCUGUCUUCAUGAUGGGGUACAUAUACUGGAAAGGGAAGCCAGAGAGUUAUCCAUCACCAUACUACAGAAGUGCUGAGGGUCUGCAUCCUGUCCACCAUGGUUUUGUCACAAAAGCACUAUUGGUGAUGUGCUAAUAAAUUCAAGUCACAUGGAGUGAAGGGUGUGUCAGAGGGGUAUAAGAAGAUAUACUGAGACGAUAGCCAGCAGACUCUGGCAACAAUCAUGUUAAUGAAAAAGGUAGAGACAUCAUUGGACAGUCAAGAGGAUUCAGCAAGUAAAAAGUUUUCCUGGAGCAUGAAAUAUAUUAUACAUUUAGUCAUCUAUGAGAGGCUGUUGGUUCACUCUUUCCUGCUUUGCUUCAGGUGUGUUUGAUUCAAACCUAUAUCUUGGGUGCUUGUAUUAAGGAAUAGGUUGCAUUUAAUGAACUUGACUUGAUAAAUAGAAACAUCAGUGCUGAUGGAUGAAGAGGAGUUGCACAAGCAGUUGGUUAAUAAGAUGCCACCCAGUUCACCAGCUGCUUCUAUUGGAGUUGAUUUUGUAUACAUGGGUGAAGGCAAACUUUGAGUUUACAUGGGAAGCAUAGUUUGGCAUCCGUCUCAAUGUUUGGCUUAUUGGGAAUGGAACAGUGGGGGGAAAUGGAAGUGGGCAAGCUAAAAAAAUAUUAACAGAAAUAAUAAAGCUGCUGCUACAUAGUUAGAAGCCUGAGAGAAAUAAACCAAUGUAGUUUGUUAGUGUUAUGUGAGUGAAAGUGUCGUGACUCCGACUAAAUAAGCUCCCCUUCCUUUUCUUGGUAAAUAUGAAGGAAGUACACUAAUAUCAUUUUCUAUCAUUGGAGCAGUGGGUGUCUUGGCAGGAGAAGCCUGAAAUGGCAUGCCCAUUAGGUAUGGCUGGCAUUUGUACAUGACUCUUGCUUUGCACAGAAUGACACUGGCAAAGUCUGGAAACAAACAGUGCAUACAUCUAAUGUCAGUAAUUCCCUUGGACAAUCUAAAUGCACAUAUUUAGGAAAGUAAUAUCCUCCCCCAUGGAGUGUAUUCCCUCUCAGUCUCCCUCUCUUCCACUCUCUCUCACACACACACCCUGAAGAUCACCGACAAUGAAAUUGCUGCACUUUAGAGAGAAGAAUGACGAGCAGUUUGAGUAACAGAAGUGAGAAGGAAAAGCUGCAGAAUGCUAGCUGCAUACGUCACACUGUAAAUGUCAUUCAGCACCUGGGGAGUCUGUUAUUCUCUCAGGGCUUGCAUUUGACACAGCAGGAUUUCAUAUUCCAAGACUAGAAAUGUGAGAAAUCAGGACAUUAUUAGCUCGGAGAAGAAUAGCUGAGUAUUUAGAACCAUUUGGAUCCAGACUGACAAAAAGAAACAUUUUUCAAAACAGCAGUAAAUUUGCAGAGUGGCCAGAGCAAAAGGGUGGCAGUCUUCUAUAUAUGCAAAUAAAUCCACAGAAAUUACUAGCCAACACAUUUCUUUGGUAGUCGUACCUAAAAGAAAGUAGAUAAAAUUCAUAAAUCUGAACUAUCUUGACUGGUCACCUGGUGAGUGGAUAUUCAUAAGCCUACUUUAAUAUAUGUAUUGGGUUAAGUUUUAUUUAGGCCAUAGACAAUAAUUAACAAGGAAAAUAUAAUAUAAAAAAAUGAUAAACAGUAGAAACCAUAUCUUACAGAUUCUCACAAAGGGUGAAAAGCAGGUCAACAAAAAAUUUAUUGUAAUUAAAGUGAUCAUAACAGCAGUUCACAACAUGGGAUUCAAGAAAAGCAGCAAGAGAUAAUGCCAAGGCAUAAAUUGCUGGCUUAAAGUAACUUUUGCUGAUAUAUUUUUUUCUAGCAGAAAGUUUGACCAAUUCUCCUUACUCAUCAGCAGUGGUGGAAGUCAUUUAUAUAUAACUGAGAUAUGAAAGACACAUUUAAAAACAUAAUGUAUGUUCCUCGGUCCUGUGCAGCAAAAUGCAUAAAUAACUUUAUACGCAACAUGGGCAUUCUCAAUUUCAAAACUACUGUUGAAAUCAGAUUAUAUCUUAAUGGGGUAAGAAUUCUUCUCAAAGUAACUAAUUAGAUGAGGACACUCUUCCAAGCAAUGGGAGCAUUUCAACAUGAUAAACCAUAGUGCAAUUGUAUUGCUAUUUAUUGCUUCAGAUCACAUCUGACCUAAAUUCCAACAUGGCCAUUAAGGACAACAAAAUAAUUCUGGGGCAUAGCAUAUUAUUGUACUUAUUCCGUUAAACUCUUGCACCAAGCUGGCUGUUGGAAUUGAAAGGAUGACAUUUUCUGCUUUAAAAAUGUUUUAGGAAAUUGAGUAGUAUUGUGGAUGCAAAUUUUAACUGGUGCAACAUAUUCCUGCAUGACAAGCUGUACCUGCCUAAAACCUCUCUUCUACACAACUGUUAAAUGUUUAUGCUAACCAAAAUAUCAAUGGGAAUUUUGCUGAAAUCAAGAUAAUUUACAUCUACAGCAUUCCCACCAUCUACUAAACUGAUCAAAACAAAGUUUAAAUUACUUUGGCAUUAUUAUUUACAAAUUCAUGCUGACUUCUACUAACCACUUCAUUGUUCUCAAGGUGCUUGCAGACUGACCUCUUUAUAAUCUUUUCAAGUAUCUUCCCUGGAAUUGGUCAGAAUGAGCUGCCCAUAGUUGCCAGAUUCUCCUUUCCUCAUUUUUGUUUGCAGUCCUGUGGCACUUUACCUGUUUUCUAGAUUGCUUAAAGAUGAUAGUCAGAGGUUCUGACAGUAUAUCAACAAGUUCUUUAGUACCCUAGAUGCAAGUCAUCUGGCCUUGAAAUCUUAAACUCAUUUAAAAUAGCUAGAUAUUUUUUGACAACUCCUUAUUAAUCUUGAACUGCAAUCCUGACUCCUCAACAGUCAUGCUAUUAUGCAGGUUAGCACACAAUUCCCCCUUGGGAAAAGACAGAGGCAAAAAUAGGAAUUCAGCAAUUCCACCUUCUUGCUGUUACCCAUUAACAUUUCACAAUUCCUACUGAGCUACACACCCCAUUUCCUUCCUCUUCUCUUACUCUGAACGUGCCCCAAAAGGCACUUUUUCUUGCCACCGUCAAUUCUUUCUGAGCUUUAGCUUUGCUGACACUGUUCCAACAAGUCUAGGAUACUUGUACUCAAUGCUUUUUUUCUAGAAAAAGAGGUGCCAGAACUCACCACUCUCUUUUUAUGGCACCUGAGAGGUGCCAGAACUGAGUUCCAGCAACUUCCAACUAAAAAGAAAAGCCUUGCUUGUACUCAUCCUUGUUAACUUAUCCUUCAGUCCUCUUCUCAUGCAUGUCCUUUUUAUUUUCAGCUUUUUGUGCAGCCACAUAGAAUAGACUUUUAAAAAAUCCUACAUUUUUCAUUCUCCUUGGAAUUAUUGGUGAUUGUGCCUUUAGUAAUUUGUUAUUCGGGAACUGUCACCUGUCUUGGAUUUCUUUUCUCAUGAGUAGAAAUAGCCAUUUAAUUCUACCUAGCAUUUAUUUCAGAAUAUGAAAAUUGGGGGUUUUUUAGAACAAGCUACAUCCUUCAAUUGCUAUUUUCUAAUCAUGUCCCACUAAGUCUCAGUUAUGUGGAUCAAUUUGUAUUUACUUUCUCAUUCAAGAAGCUGAAGUUCAUCUUGUUCAUUUCCCAUACUCUAUGCAUUAGCAUAGAAGUGUAAAGCUUUGGAUAUUCUACUCUGAUAUCUCUCCUGCUAUUUUAGCGUAGGGUUUGCUGGGCAUCUCCUCAACUUUCCCAGUUUCUCCUGUAGCAGCCACAUCCAUAGAUUUAGUGCUUCAUUUUGUACUUAGCUUUCAGCUAUUGGAGCCAUCCCACACAGUAUUUGAUUAUGCCCCUCUUGCUCAGGUUUGCCAUUCUUCUGCCAGAUACAUUUCCCAAGGUGCAGCCUACCUUCCUUCUUUAGGAAGCUUACACAAUAGUCCAAGAAACAUGCUGCAACUUAGGAGAAUAGUUCCCCUGAACUGUGAUCUCUCUGUGUAGUCCUCUACCUUGAUGAGAACUUUACCAGAGCCCCAAGAUGCUUUAUCUUCUUCCCCAGAACUUUAUAGUCAGGUAUGUUUUCAUAGUAAUCCCUGGUGGUGUCAUUCAUUCCUGUACAGAUGAGCAAAAAUAUAUAAUGAUCAGUGGGCUUGAUAAAACUUGGUAAGUUAUCAAUCACAUCCUGGGUCCCAAUACUUGAGAUACAGUAUACUUCAGAAGUUAACAGAUUCACUUGACACAGAAGACUCAUCUCUCAGUAGGGAGUUCCCAGCCAUUAUUACCACCACUUUAUUCCUCUUCCUGCAUAUGGAGAUUGUCACCUCUGUCCUUAAAGGCUUGAGAGUCUUCCUUCCUAGCUAAUGUAGCCUGCUGCUGCUGUCUUCCACCAGCUCCUCAGAGACACUGGAAAGAGAGAUACAGUGGUACCUCGGGUUAAGUACUUAAUUCGUACCGGAGGUCCGUUCUUAACCGGAAACUGUUCUUAACCUGAAGCACCACUUUAAGUAAUGGGGCCUCCUGCUGCUGCCGCACCGCCGGAGCACGAUUUCUGUUCUCAUCCUGAAGCAAAGUUCUUAACCUGAAGCACUGUUUCUGGGUUAGCAGAGUCUGUAACCUGAAGUGUAUGUAACCUGAGGUACUACUGUAUUGUGUUCCAGUGGUUCAGAAUGCCGCCUUAUACUCAUGUUCUUUACAGUCAUGGUCUUCAAUGCAGUUUCCCCAAUCCUACAGUUCUCAUUUUCUUGACUGCUUUUGUCCUUUCUGUAGUACCCCAUGUCCUGCCCAAGAAGUCAUUGUCUUCAUAAAUGAAGAAUGGAAACUCAUCACUGCUGUCUUCUUACUUACUCGCCCAGCAGGACAAUCAACUGACAUUUUCUGCAAGUGUACUCUAUGCUGACAGACAAGAAAAUAAGCAGAGCACACACAUUUCAGGGCACCACCAAAGAACCCUCACUGUCUGUCUUCUUAGCUCUUCAUCACAUCUUAGCCUCUACCACUACUGCUGAAGUGGUCUUUGCUUCUUCCUUCAUUUAUUCUUUGAAGUUUGCCGGAGUUCCCAUGAUGUUCUGCUACUUAGUAUAUAAUUUGCAGCAUGCAACUAUUUAUAUAGUACAGUUAUUUAUAGCCUGAGUUUCAGAAUAUAGCUUAUUCCAAUGUGGCUUACAAGAAACUUUUAAACUGUAUUAAAUACAUAAACAUAAUGACCAAUAUCAACAUAUAAAAAGCCAUCAGAAUCCUUCACACAGGACUGUUGAUAGUACAUAGUAUUUUGGGGUAGGAAAGUCCAGCUGGUGCAAAGUUCCAAGGUAGCCUUUGCCUGCCUCCCUCUCUUUCCUGGAAUCCUUUUGACCCACUAGUGGGAAGAGCACAGAGCGGCAAGAAGUCUAAGCCCCCAGAUAGUUAUAGUGACUGAUUUCCAGGAUCUUUAGCAAAGGCUGCUGAAAGAGUAUGCAAGUGAGUUGCCACCUCACAGAUCCCAGCCCUGUCUCUCUGAGAGGGGUGUGGGUGGGUGUAUCUAUUUGUCUACCUCUGUCUCCAACUGAUCUUCUAGUCAAGAAUUUGUUUCUGUUAUCUGAGAGAAGAAAAAAGUAAAGCCUCAAAAUCUGGGGUAGGGGAAAGAAUUUCAUCCAUUCUAGCACCAAAAGAAAUCUUAUAGGAAAUCACAGAUGAAGAAGCUUCCAGCAUUAGCAGGGAAUAUGAGGCUCCCACAAGUUGAUGGCGGAUUCUUCAGUAGGAAUAAAUUUUUGUAGUAGAGAAACGGCUUGGGUGAGAACUAAACUCUGCAGGUUUAAUAGGCUAAACACCUGUAUUUGCGGACUACACAACCCUUUCUGUUGCUCUCUAAUCUCCUCAUUCUCAUCCAAUAUCAAUGGAUUUUUAAACACACUUCCAGUCUGUUUUAGGUCCCUUUGGACCUCAAUGGAUGCAAAUGCUAAACUGAAUUAAACUCUGGAUUCAUUGCUUGGAACUCUAUGCAGGCAUCACAUCCAAAAUGCUAACUAUGUUAGAUGUAUCCUGGGAAACAUCCACUGGCCUUUGCAUACAUUCUUUCUACUAUGUGGUAUGCUCUGGUGAUAAAAUAUUAUACUGGUUUUUAAAACCUCCUUUAUUAAUUUUAUGUACAACUGACAACCUACCUGCUCUCCUAGCCAGUCUUCCUGACCUUGUAGGCCUGUUGCUGUUGUCUGAGAGAAUAAUAAAAGCAUUCACCAUAGAUAAUUCCUUUGUUUGUCAAGCUAGGACCACCCCUGGAUGGGUGGAAAGGAUGCCUCUCUAGCCCACAUCAGUGGAUGAUCUUAUUGAGGCCUUGUUCUCAAUUUGUCUUAAAAAUUGUUAAGUCAAAAACUUCUCCACUGCCUGAAACUGUAACAUGGGCUCUCUCUUCUUUCUCUCCAUUAAAACACUCCUAGGGAAUUUUUAAAGUUUUUGUGGUUUUGGCUUACACAGGUGGGUAUAACUCUCAUGACAUCUUGGCACAGAGGGUGUAAAUUUCAUGGAGUUUAUAUUGCCUGCAUCUCAAAACAGAUGUGCCCCCCCCCAAAGUCUUUGCUUGAAGUGGUAAUGUACAUAUUGUAAGAUCUGUCAAAGGGCUGCGGCCUUUUUCACACCUGAGGUUAUCACAUUUAGAACAAGGAUAUUGUAGACUGAUGAGUGUGACCGCUCAAGCGGUUGGUGGUUGGAGUCCUCCAAGAUGGCAAAAAUUAAAUUGAUUAUGCAAAUCAGUUGCAGCCCCUGAGGCUACCAUUUUAUCCUCACUUCCUCCUCCUGAGUUGUGCCAGACUCUCAUUUGAGGUACUGUCCAGCUCCAAUGGCGCGUGAAUCUGUGUCCCAGGGGUGAGGAUUAUGGGUGAAAUUUUGGCUCGGCUAAAAAAUCAAUAGGUGUUUUGUAAUUGGCUUGGAUGGAACCAGAAUUUUAACUCAUGGCUCCUUCCUCCUGAAGGGCUUCGCAUAUUUAUAUCUGCAGUGAAGAGGAGAAAAAGCGACCCAUUCGGCUGCUAAGAUGAUGCUGGAAAUGGUGCCUUGCCUUGCCCAGACAAACAAAAGCUAUCCGGAAGGAGACGCAGUGGGCUUCCCUUCACCGUUUAUUUGUUGAGCAAGCGAAGAAAGAGAAGGCUCCUGGCGGAGACAGAAACAAAGAAAUUCAGCCUCGUCUGUGUUUUCCUUCCUGCCUUGCCUAGGCUACCCCACAGGCCAUCUGUCAAGUUGUUCUGGGCUGUGGGAAAAAGUUCUGUCCCACAAAACAGUGCAAGGGGCUAUCCCGUUAAGUUCUUUCUCCGGCCUCCUUGCGGUAAGAAGUUCUUAGGCACUGACAGAUCUCCGCUUCAGGCUCUCACCAAAGUUUCCUCAGGACUUUGGGAUCCUGGCAGAAUCAAGCCCCAUCAACUCCUGGUCCUUCACGUGCAGAGGAAGACCAGGUUGGAGCUUGAGGUGAAGGCGAGAGUCACUUUCUGUAGUGAGGCAGCCUGGAACUAGCUACGCUCGAAUAUCCAAAGCGAUUGUGGAUUUGGAAUCUCUACCAGACAGCAUCCUACAGGCGGUGUUGUGGCCUAUGCAGAUGUUGCAGGUGAUUGCGGUGUGCUGCUGUUGUUGCUUUCUCUGCGCUUUCUUUUAUUUGUAAGCCGCCUUGACAGGUCACUUUUGGAAUACACGAUUACAAACAAAGUUAACAUCAACCGAAAGGAAAAAUCAACAGGACAAGCACUUCAGUCACCAGCACCUUUCUCGUGAAGGAAGUGGCACUGAGUUCAUUUCACCCCAUUUCUCUUUAGCACUUGGAUGGCGACGGGCUAUUCAAUCCAAGUGCUGUAGCUUAACAGCAACUGACGUGGAGAGGACGGAGGGAAAACGAGGCGAUGGGAGCUAGUCCGCAGGGAGGUUUUUAAGCGGCUUGGCAGAGUCUCCGUUUUUUCACAGUUUUUAGGCCUAAAAAGAGGAAGCUCUCCCCACUCCCUCUUUUUAGCCCAGACUCGAGGUAAAGCGUUAGAAAAUAAAACCAGCUCUUACAGCCAGAGCCCAGCCACGUUUCAUCCGAAGGAAUUCUCACUGGUUUCAGUGAGGCUUACUUACUCCCAAGUAAGUGUGUAUAUAAUUCCUGCUUUUUAAAUGAUCCCACAAACCCUCUUUCUUCUACACACACACACACACGCACGCACACACUCAUCGAUCACUCACUGAAUUUCCUUGGGAAGAGUUCAGGACCUGAAUGACACGUCCCGGUUUCUCAGCCGCUUGUCCCCAGACUUCAUGUUUUUGUUUUAGGCUGAAAAAUCUCCCGUGACUCCCUUUUCACCCUACGUCCCAAAAGUACGGUUUUGAUCCCUCCUUGUUUCAGAUUUUGGGACGGUUGUCCGGGAUUUCGAGACAGGUGGGGGCCUUUAAUCCGCCCUCUAACCCCGUGACCUCCUUCCCUUAAGGAGCU